rnacentral:rRNA from 1 species
UACAGAGGCCUCGAGCGUUAGGCGGAAUCACUGGGCUUAAAGCGUGUGUAGGCGGACUUCUAAGUACCUUGUGAAAUCCCACGGCUCACCCGUGGAACUGCUUGGUAUACUGGCGGGCUUGAGCCAUCUAGGGGCUACCGGAACAAAUGGUGGAGCGGUGAAAUGCGUAGAUAUCAUUUGGAACGCCAAUGGUGAAAACAGGUAGCUGGGGAUGUGCUGACGCUGAGACACGAAAGCCAGGGGAGCGAACGGG